CGAAUUCCAAGCUUCGCGGCCUAUCAGCUUGUUGGUGAGGUAAUGGCUCACCAAGGCGACGACGGGUAGCCGGCCUGAGAGGGCGACCGGCCACACUGGGACUGAGACACGGCCCAGACUCCUACGGGAGGCAGCAGUGGGGAAUAUUGCACAAUGGGCGAAAGCCUGAUGCAGCGACGCCGCGUGAGGGAUGACGGCCUUCGGGUUGUAAACCUCUUUCAGCAGGGAAGAAGCGAAAGUGACGGUACCUGCAGAAGAAGCACCGGCUAACUACGUGCCAGCAGCCGCGGUAAUACGUAGGGUGCGAGCGUUGUCCGGAAUUAUUGGGCGUAAAGAGCUUGUAGGCGGUUUGUCGCGUCUGCCGUGAAAUUUCGGGGCUCAACCCCGAACUUGCGGUGGGUACGGGCAGACUAGAGUGUGGUAGGGGAGACUGGAAUUCCUGGUGUAGCGGUGAAAUGCGCAGAUAUCAGGAGGAACACCGAUGGCGAAGGCAGGUCUCUGGGCCACUACUGACGCUGANAAGCGAAAGCAUGGGGAGCGAACAGGAUUAGAUACCCUGGUAGUCCAUGCCGUAAACGUUGGGAACUANGUGUGGGUCUCAUUCCACGANAUCCGUGCCGCAUCUAACGCAUUAANUUCCCCGCCUGGGGANUACGGANAU
rnacentral:rRNA from 1 species